rnacentral:rRNA from 1 species
GACAGAGGGGGCAAGCGUUGCUCGGAAUCACUGGGCGUAAAGAGCUCGUAGGCGGCCUGUUGCGUCCGCUGUGAAAGCCCGGGGCUUAACCCCGGGUCGGCAGUGGAUACGGGCAGGCUAGAGGUAGGUAGGGGAGAAUGGAAUUCCCGGUGUAGCGGUGAAAUGCGCAGAUAUCGGGAGGAACGCCGGUGGCGAAGGCAGUUCUCUGGGCCUUACCUGACGCUGAGGAGCGAAAGCGUGGGGAGCGAACAGG